UACGAAGGGGGCUAGCGUUGUUCGGAAUUACUGGGCGUAAAGCGCGCGCAGGCGGUCUUCCAAGUCAGUGGUGAAAGCCCGGAGCUCAACUCCGGAACUGCCAUUGAUACUGGAGAGCUUGAGUCCGGGAGAGGUGAGUGGAACUCCGAGUGUAGAGGUGAAAUUCGUAGAUAUUCGGAAGAACACCAGUGGCGAAGGCGGCUCACUGGCCCGGUACUGACGCUGAUGUGCGAAAGCGUGGGGAGCAAACAGG
rnacentral:rRNA from 1 species